rnacentral:antisense_RNA from 1 species
CUUCAGCGAGCCGAGCAGCAAGGGCCGGGCCCGGUCCUGCCCGUACGUGGCCAGGAUCGCCUGCGCCUC